CCCUUAGAUGUUCUGGGCUGCACACGCGCUACACUGAAGGGAUCAGCGUGUUCUUUUCCUGGUCUGAAAGGAUCGGGUAACCCGCUGAACCCCCUUCGUGGUAGGGAUCGGAGCUUGCAAUUAUUCUCCGUGAACCAGGAAUUCCCAGUAAGCGCAAGUCAUAAGCUUGCGUUGAUUACGUCCCUGCCCUUUGUACACACCGCCCGUCGCUACUACCGAUUGGACGUUUUAGUGAGGAUUUUGGACUGAGCCAAUGGUGGUUCACACCACUGUUGUGCAUGGAAAGAUCUCCAAACUUGAGCGUUUAGAGGAAGUAAAAGUCGUAACA
rnacentral:rRNA from 1 species